AGCGAACGCUGGCGGCAGGCUUAACACAUGCAAGUCGAGCGGGCACUUCGGUGUCAGCGGCAGACGGGUGAGUAACACGUGGGAACGUGCCCUUCGGUUCGGAAUAACUCAGGGAAACUUGAGCUAAUACCGGAUACGCCCUUUGGGGGAAAGGUUUACUGCCGAAGGAUCGGCCCGCGUCUGAUUAGCUAGUUGGUGGGGUAAUGGCCUACCAAGGCGACGAUCAGUAGCUGGUCNGA
rnacentral:rRNA from 1 species